AAUAAGUGUAGUUUUACACUAUUUAUAUUUAACGUUUGACCGUUCGUCUUAUUUAAAAUUUUUUUAUGAUUAGCAUUUUUAUUGCUAUUAGAUGAUAAAACAUUAAUAAUACUUUAUGUGCGACUAAAUAUUUUUAAAUUUUUUAUAAAUUUUUUAAAUAAGACGAACGGUCAAACGUUGGGCACAGAUAUUUAUGGCUGCACUUAUU
rnacentral:pre_miRNA from 1 species